AUGAACGCUAGCGGCAGGCCUAAUACAUGCAAGUCGAACGAUAUUUCUAGUUUACUAGAGAAAAAGUGGCGCACGGGUGCGUAACGCGUAUGCAACCUACCUUAAUCAGGGGGAUAGCCCGAAGAAAUUCGGAUUAACACCGCAUAAAAUCACAGUACAGCAUUGUACAAUGAUCAAAUAUUUAUAGGAUUAAGAUGGGCAUGCGUGACAUUAGUUAGUUGGCGGGGUAACGGCCCACCAAGACCACGAUGUCUAGGGG
rnacentral:rRNA from 1 species